rnacentral:lncRNA from 1 species
CUUGAAUUCAACGACAUUGGAUCAUUUAUAACAAACGUUCAAACUUUUAUAGAUUUUUCAUUGAUUUUUAGUGAAUUUGACAAACGGCACAUGCAGUGAUCUUUUGGGAGAUAUCGGAGCAACAUCUGUUCGUUUUAAAGUGUUGUAAGGAAACUUAAGUCAUAGCGGCAGGGACACGGGACUUUAUUUGUAUGCAUAAUUUUACAGUACUUAUUGGUAGGAUGAGUCUCUGUGCAGU